GAAGUAGGAGGGGAUGAAAAUCAUGCUGGACAGUGGCUGCGCUUCUAGAGAAAUCAUGGAGGAGCAGCAGCCGAAGGAGAAGGUGGCAGAUGUGGACCUGAGCAACUUGGGCAUUCUUCUAAGCAGAGAUUAACAGUCCUCAGCUUUCUGCCUUGCACAUAACUGGCUUACCAAGGGAAAAGAAAUCAGGCGUCAGAGUCUACUCCCUUCAUACGUUGGAAAGUGAGCAAAAGUGAUCGGACCG